ensembl:lncRNA
ACGUUUUCCAACGCAGCAGUGUUUGGAAAGUUAUUCCAGAGAUGAAGGGUGUUGUGAUUGUGUACCCAAUAGAUGGCAGUAGUGUCCGAUUUUGUAGUUUAAACUCUCCUCUAAACGAAACGAAGCAGCUGACAUUUUUUUUUUUUUUUACAGUUCAGACAGUGCUUAGUUUCCGAAGAAGCCAGCAGAAUUUUGAGAAUAGAAUGUUUAAAAUGUAACAGUAGUAAAUGAAGGAUAAUAUAUCUGUCCAUGCUGCAUAUUGAUGGUUUCAUAACGUAAAUCUGUCAGCUGAAGAAAAAAGGGAGGCGUCACUGGAAGUAAAGCUGAUGGAGAGAGACAAAAAACUGAGCAGAGAGGCGAUGGAAAAGGUUUCAGUGGGUGUGACUGAGUCAGUCUGGAGCAUCAGAGAUCAGAGAUCCAGAAACACACAGGACUCAGAGACCAGCCUCAGUUUACUUUGUUACACUGACACUCAAGAGAGUCAUGAAUCCACUGAUCAGAUCUCUGCAGAGUCUUUGGGUUCAGACGGUAACGCUGAAGAAGAGCAGACAGCACUUAAGACGUGCACAGUGAAUCUGGAGGACUGCAGGAACCUAGCCAAGAUGAAAAGAGAAACCACAGCUGAUGAAGAACAGAGCGAUGAUGAUGAUGAUGAUGAUGAUGUUUUUAUUCCAUCAGGUAAUUUCCUUUGUACAUUUUUAUUUUAUUUAUCUGCCUUGUCAAUACCGGUUACAAGGAAGAUGGUUUCAAAGUCAUUGUUUUUAAUGUUAUUUGUUACCUAUGUGCAAAAGUCUGGCUUUUAACCAUGAUGUUUUAAUUAAAGGGAUGUAAUAAUUGCUAGUUUUAUUAUAUGCAAUUUAUAUCUUGCUUGUAUUUUAAGGGAAAACUUUAUUUCUUAUCCAUGUUGUCCCUCAAAACUGAAGGCUAUGAAAAAAAAAAUAUAAAUGUAUUAUUGUAUCUUACGCUACAGUUAAAUCCAAGAGAAGGUUUAAUUUGAGGGUUAAUUUACAUUCAGCUUCAAAAUCUGCUACUUAAAGGGAUAGUUCACCCCAAAAGAAAAUUGUCAAUAAGUGCUCACCCUCAUAUCAUUCCAAACCUGGAAGACUUUAAUCUUCGCAACACAAAUUAAGAUAUUUUUGAUGCAUUUCGAGAGCUCUCUGUCCCUCUCAUAGACAACAAGGAUCCUGACACAAUCAAGGCUCAGAAAAACGAAGCAAUGUAUCGUUAAAAUAAUCCAUGUGACUUCAGUGGCUCAACCGCAAUUUUACAAAGCUACGAGAAUAUUUUUGUGCGCAAAGAAAAUAAAAAUAGCAACUUAAUUCAACAAUUCCUCUUCUCUGCGUCACCCUAUAGCACAAUUUUGAAGAGUAUCACAUAUGUAAGCACCUUAUGCAAUGUACUGUAUGUAUGCAGAUACGUAGUUUACAUUGUAAUCAAAGUGUAAACAGCGUAUCUACGUAUGGUGUUGAUGACAGAAGAGAAAUUGAAUUGAGCUAUAGGGUGAGACCGAGUAGACUAAUUAACGAAUUGUAUAAACACAACAGAAUUUACUCUAAGCAUGUAAAGUAGAUGCUCAAGGUCUUGUUUUCUGCAAAAAGCAAGAUAAGUAGUUGCCCUCCAUUUCUCUUUUGCUUUACAUUUGUCACCAUAUGAUUGAUUUUUGACUAAGUACUGUGUUUUUAAUUUUAGACUUAAAAGAGGAAAGUGAAG